GAUGAAGAACGCAGCGAAAUGCGAUACGUAAUGUGAAUUGCAGAAUUCAGUGAAUCAUCGAAUCUUUGAACGCACAUUGCACUCUCUGGUAUUCCGGAGAGUAUGCUUGUUUGAGUAUCUGUAAACAUCUCAAAUCUCUCUUCAAUUGCUUCAAUUGGGUCGAGAGAAUUGGAUUUGAGCGAUCCCGACUCCUUCGUCAGAAAGAGGAGGGUCGCUUGAAAUGCAGGUGCAGCUGGACAUUCUUCUGAGCCAAAAGCAUAUCUAUUUAGUCCCGUCAAACGGAUUAUUACUUUUGCUUCAGCUAAUAUAAAGGUUGAAUGAACUACCAACGCUGAUUGCAGGAAAACAUGUUCGUUUAUUCGGACUUGUAAACUCGAUCUCAAAUCAAGUAAGACUACCCGCUGAACUUAAGCAUAUCAAUAAGCGGAGGA
rnacentral:misc_RNA from 1 species